UACAGAGGGGGCAAGCGUUGUUCGGAAUUACUGGGCGUAAAGGGCGCGUAGGCGGCCUUCUAAGUCGAACGUGAAAUCCAUGGGCUCAACCCAGGAACUGCGUCCGAUACUGGAAGGCUUGAAUCCGGGAGAGGGAUGCGGAAUUCCAGGUGUAGCGGUGAAAUGCGUAGAUAUCUGGAGGAACACCGGUGGCGAAGGCGGCAUCCUGGACCGGUAUUGACGCUGAGGCGCGAAAGCCAGGGGAGCAAACGGG
rnacentral:rRNA from 1 species